CCAACAGACCACAUUGUCAUCUCACUUUAUCCUUCCUGAUCAGAUCCGACAUCAGCUCUAUCAGGAAAGAAAAUGAUGAAACUCGUCGCUGUACUUUUCCUCUUCUCAUUGGCCCUGCAAUCAUUCAGUGUCAAUGGAGAACAGUGUGGAGCAAAUGAAGUCUAUUCUAAAUGUCGAUCCCCCUGUGAGCCGACCUGCAAUGAAGGUCGUCGUCCAUGCCCUAUGAUCUGUCUUUAUGGGUGCGUCUGCAAACAGCCAUACGUCCGCCGAUCAAGCGCUGAUAACACCUGCGUUCUGCCAAGCGAUUGCUAGAAAUAAAACAUGAACAACAUGGCGCACAUUUCAGGGGAAGGAGAUGUGAAAUGGAAUUCAGAAGCAUUUUACCGUGUCAUGUGUUUAUUUUUAAUAAAAAUAAAUAAAUAAA